rnacentral:sRNA from 1 species
GCUGGGGGCAGGGGUGCACACCUGUUGCCCCAGCUACUCAGGAGGCUGAGGCAAGAGGAUUAGUUGAGCCCAGGAAUUGGAGGCCAGCCUGGGAAACAUAGUGAGAUCGUAUCUCAG